rnacentral:lncRNA from 1 species
GCUCUUUGCUCAUACUUCUGAAGCACUUGAAGUGUUUGCACUCCUUGCGUUGAGUUAGUUACUGUGAUUCACCUUCUCAAUGCCAUCGAACUUCUGGAAUGCAGGAAGUUUUCACCCCCAACUUGGAGUAAUUCUCUCAUAGGUUUGGUCGCCUCUGGGAUUGUACCGUCUUCUCCAUCAACCCUGCCGCCUACUCCACUGAGUAGCAAAGGUACAGCACCAUGUACUGCCUGCUUCGUUC